GAAGUAAAAGUCGUAACAAGGUUUCCGUAGGUGAACCUGCGGAAGGAUCAUUAAUGAAACUUCAAAGUCGGCCAAAGGUUGUUGCUGGUGAUUAUUCACAUGUGCACGCCUUUGGUCGCAAAUCCACACACACCUGUGCAUCUAUGACUCGAGGUUGUAAUGACUGAGAGUAACUUUUAUACACUCUUGUAUGUAAUGGAAUGUCUUUUUGUGCUAUAAUGUACAAUAUAAACAACUUUCAACAACGGAUCUCUUGGCUCUCGCAUCGAUGAAGAACGCAGCGAAAUGCGAUAAGUAAUGUGAAUUGCAGAAUUCAGUGAAUCAUCGAAUCUUUGAACGCACCUUGCACCCUUUGGUAUUCCGAAGGGUACGCCCGUUUGAGUGUCAUUGUAAUCUCACUUCUACAACUUUAUUGUUGUUUGAAUGUGGACUUGGAUGUUGCCGUUUUAUCACGGCUUGUCUUAAAUGCCUGAGUGUACCCUGUUUUGCAGCGUAUCCAGUGUAAUAAACAUUUCACUAGAGUUGGUCGAAAGACCGCGUUGACUAUAUGGGCUCUAUGCUUCAAACCGUCUGCCAUGUGGACAAUUUCUUGACAAUUUGACCUCAAAUCGGGUGGGACUACCCGCUGAACUUAAGCAUAUCAAUAAGCGGAGGAAAAGAAACUAACAAGGAUUCCCCUAGUAACGGCGAGUGAAGAGGGAAAAGCUCAAAUUUUAAAUCUGGUGUCUUUGACUCCCGAGUUGUAAUCUAGAGAAGUGUUUUCCGUGUCGGACCGUGUACAAGUUCCCUGGAACGGGGCGUCAUAGAGGGUGAGAAUCCCGUAUAUGCCACGGACUACCGAUGCUCUGUGAUACACUCUCAACGAGUCGAGUUGUUUGGGAAUGCAGCUCAAAAUGGGUGGUAAAUUCCAUCUAAAGCUAAAUAUUGGCGAGAGACCGAUAGCGAACAAGUACCGUGAGGGAAAGAUGAAAAGCACUUUGGAAAGAGAGUGAAACAGUACGUGAAAUUGUUGAAAGGGAAGCGUUUGAAGUCAGUCGCAUCUGUUGGGGUUCAGCCUGGCUUUUGCCUGGUGUAUUUCCUUUCCGAUGGGUCAGCAUCAGUUUCGACCGAGGGAAAAAGACAUUUGGAAUGUGGCUGUCUUCGGGCAGUGUUAUAGCCUUGUGUUGUAUGUCUCGGUUGGGACUGAGGAUUGCAGCGCGCCAUAAAUGGCCGGGGGUCGCUCCUCUCGACACGCGCUUAGGAUGCUGGCAUAAUGGCUUUAAGCGACCCGU
rnacentral:rRNA from 1 species